CACAACCCCAAAACAUUGGAGCCAGGCGACUGGGACUGGAACCUCUGAGACCUAGCAAAAAGAUAAACCUUUCCUCUGUCUAAGUCAAUAGCUUAAUUAUUUUGUCAUAGUGUCAGGAAGCUAACACAGCAGGUUUAUAUAUAAAAUGCAGAAUGCUGAUGGGUUGUUUAUUGUCCCUGGGAAUUGUGUAGCCCUGGGGUAGGGCACCCUCCAGGGUUGGAUGUCAAAGUUUCCUAAAAUACAGAAAAUGAAAAAGGCAAAGUGAAUAUACCUUUGGAGUAGAAAGAGCUUCUCAAAAAGAUGGGCACACAGAACAGUUCUCAGCAAAUUUGAGAGAAAGGAACACAGAUUUCCCAUCAUUUCUUGCCUCUUGCCAGUAUCUCCUACUGAAGGGGAACAGUUGUCACAGAAGAUGAACCUAUGUGAUGUGGCAUCUUCAUCCAGCAUCCACAGGCGACAUCGGGCCCACACUUCGUGUCUGACCCUGUGGACUGAUGACAUGUGUCCACUGUUGUGGUGUUGUGCCGAGGAGUUUCACUGCCUGGAAAGUCCCCUGUGCUCCACCUGGUCAUCCUCCCUCCUCGCUCUGUAACCACCCAUUAUUUUACCUUUUCCAGAACGUUGUAUGAUUGUAACCAUACAGAAU
rnacentral:lncRNA from 1 species